rnacentral:rRNA from 1 species
AGUGAACGCUGGCGGUAGGCCUAACACAUGCAAGUCGAACGGCAGCACAGUAAGAGCUUGCUCUUACGGGUGGCGAGUGGCGGACGGGUGAGGAAUACAUCGGAAUCUACUUUUUCGUGGGGGAUAACGUAGGGAAACUUACGCUAAUACCGCAUACGACCUACGGGUGAAAGCAGGGGAUCUUCGGACCUUGCGCGAUUGAAUGAGCCGAUGUCGGAUUAGCUAGUUGGCGGGGUAAAGGCCCACCAAGGCGACGAUCCGUAGCUGGUCUGAGAGGAUGAUCAGCCACACUGGAACUGAGACACGGUCCAGACUCCUACGGGAGGCAGCAGUGGGGAAUAUUGGACAAAGGGCGCAAGCCUGAUCCAGCCAUACCGCGUGGGUGAAGAAGGCCUUCGGGUUGUAAAGCCCUUUUGUUGGGAAAGUAAAGCAGCAGGUUAAUACCCCGCUGUUCUGACGGUACCCAAAGAAUAAGCACCGGCUAACUUCGUG